AGUUUUCCCAAGUGCUUAUUCAAAUAAUGUAUUUUGAGUCAAAUAAAGAAAAACGAUUAACAUAAUGUUAAUCUUUAUUAUUUAUACAAUAAAAGAUCUAUUCUGCAAAUGAUUCAACCAGAAGCUCCUGCUUGUUGAGCAGAUGACAGCUAUAGUCAGGAAGCCCUUUGCACAAAUCCAUAUUGUGCCCCAAUUAUGACCCUUUGUGGAUUGGACCACCAUUCUCACUCAUGCCUUAAUCACCUUCUGUCGGGACUACAGUAACAUGCUCUACCUUGAAGAUAAAUCAGGAAUUACAACAGCAGGGGGAAGAAAAAGCCUGUCACUAUGAGAAGCUACUAAGCCACCCUUCAGUUCAAUUUUAACAGCACGCUGAAAUGAAGGCAAUGCACCAUGGUCCCUUGACUUUAGCAGGGAUGGACGACAGCUAGAGUUGGGAGGCUAGAUAUGGCAAGAGUUCUCCCCAGUGGGAAACCAUCCAUUUCACCAUGAGAACCCAGUGGUGAAAUGCCGGCAAUGGAUUGGCACAAACCAAGUGCAUUGAAGAUCUGAAUCAUUUUGGAAAAUAUCUGUGGACUUCAGAUAUACAUACUGCGAGCUGGAAAAUAUUUUGUUCUUGUGCUUCACCUUUCUUGACCAGGUUCCUCUCCAUGCAAUUUAAUGUUUUUCUUCAAAUUUCAGCCUUCAGCCAAAUUUGUAAAACAAAGACAUGGCACGCUAUAACAGCUGGCAAAUAUGUUCCUGCUGUAUCCCAUCUGUUUUAAAAGGUGCUGUAUGUUUAUUAGGGAGAAUUAUGCUUAUGAUCAAUUUAGGGUACUUGCUUCCUGAUUCAUCUGCUAAUAUGUUCUGGUUUGAAUAUAUUAUUUUGUCACUUCCCUUGGAAUCUUCAGUCACAAAAUAGCCUUCCUUUGCCAAAUAAAGA